rnacentral:rRNA from 1 species
UCUCAGUUCGGAUUNAAGGCUGAAAUUCGCCUUCAUGAAGCCGGAAUUGCUAGUAAUGGCAGGUCAGCAUACUGCCGUGAAUACGUUCCCGGGCCUUGUACACACCGCCCGUCACACCAUGAGAGUUGGGAAUACCCGAAGCCUGUGAGCUAACGAAAGAGGCAGCAGUCGAAGGUAGAAUCAAUGAUUGGGGUGAAGUCGUAACAAGGUAAC